UCUUAGUGGGGAGGAGCUGAGGUGGAGAGUUUUAGUAGAUGGGAGGUGGGGGUGGUGGGGACUUGUAUACGUAUGGGUUUACAGGUGGGGGAGGAGACUUGUAGACGUAGGGAUUAUGCGGCGGCGGAGACCAGUAUACCGGAUGUGGUGGUGGUGGCCGUGGAGAUGGAUGA